rfam:Theiler's murine encephalomyelitis virus 2A polyprotein encoding leader protein and coat protein mRNA, complete cds.
UCGGCCACAAACACUCAAUCCUCCGUUGGCCGG